UACAGAGGUGGCAAGCGUUGUUCGGAAUUACUGGGCGUAAAGGGCGCGUAGGCGGUUCGUUAAGUCCUGUGUGAAAUCCCCCGGCUCAACUGGGGAACUGCACAGGAAACUAGCGGGCUUGAGUUCGGGAGAGGGAAGCGGAAUUCCGGGUGUAGCGGUGAAAUGCGUAGAGAUCGGAAAGAACACCAACGGCGAAAGCACUCUGCUGGGCCGACACUGACACUGAGAGACGAAAGCUAGGGGAGCGAAUGGG
rnacentral:rRNA from 1 species